AACUUUCAACAACGGAUCUCUUGGUUCUCGCAUCGAUGAAGAACGCAGCGAAACGCGAUAGUUAAUGUGAAUUGCAGAAUUCAGUGAAUCAUCGAGUCUUUGAACGCACAUUGCACCUUUUGGUAUUCCGAAAGGUAUGUCUGUUUGAG
rnacentral:rRNA from 1 species